GUACCUGCAUGACAUGACUUCGCAUGAACUUUUAGAAAUGGCAGCCGAUUGUGCUUGGUUAUCCAGAAGGGCCAAGAUUCAAGAUUCGUGUCUUUGGAGAAGUGCCAUAUUGACAAUUAACCUUGCUGAACAAGGAAUCCACUUACUUCUACAUCUGGAUAAUCUUCUGUUAAAGGUUCCAUUAAAUGAAUGUUACUCUAAAACAUAGAUUGGGCAAUUAGCCAAUCUUAAUGGAGGUACUCAAAGAAAAUCAUGUUGAAAUGUCAAUAUUUUAAAAUGCAGGUUUUUUUGCGAGUUCCCUGCAUACAAAUAUAUCUUCACGAACAAACGCUAUUCAAGUAUCCCUUUCAAGUGUAAUUCUUUUUCAUAGACUCUAUAGCUACCAAAACAAUUCCUUUGAGUUUUCUUUUGAAGAUGUUCCAUGGGAGAGAAAGAAAAUGAAGGAUCUAGAUAGAGGACAGAUUUAAAAAGCAUGUGAUUCAGUAGAUUAAUAGUUGUCUGAUCUAUUUUAUUUGUUCGAUGUGAAAGUCGCCUUCCUAUACUAUAUUUCUCAUCACGGACAGUGGAAAAUACUAAUUUUCAAAUACUAUAUGAAACCAUUCUUUUGCCUGAAUGUACGUUACGUAUAGCACUGUGUAUUUUUCAUGAAUUGAUCCAAUACAUGAAUAGGUAUUCUCUAGUGUGGGUAACAUUGUGAUAUGGUACCCCUCUGAAGGUGAUGUAUAAAACCGGUUAGUGGUUAGUGGGUCGACGAUAAUAGCCCUUGCAUUCCGGCUCUGGCUAUAUUAUUGGCGACCAGACCCUUUAUCUUCUAAUUGCUCAGUAACAACGUUAUUGUCUUGUUAAAAGGUUGGUUCAUACUCUGUGAAGUUACGGCAAUUCACUUUGUGAAGUUACGGCAAUCAUUAACGCCAGCGCUAAAAAUUCUGGGGAAAAAAGAGUGAACCACAUUUAACUCUGGGCAAUUUUGUGUCAAAUGGUUUCGAUGUCAACAUUUCAAAAUUUGCUUUCACUUGAAGUAUGAACCGAUCGUUAGAGCUCAGCCCAGUCACUAAGGCGUGAAUUCCUUAAUGUGGAUUCAAGUAAAAGACUUUAAUUGUAUACCAUUCACGAAAUGGACGCUGUAGUAAUAUGUGCAUAUUGAUGUGUCCAAAUAAUUGCCGUGAAUAUUAAUUACACUUACCGUUUUAGUGAUUGCAUUUUAGUAAUGUUUUUACAUGCUGUUGUUUCUGAACACUCUUUGUAAUAAAAUUAGAGAAACAUGAA
rnacentral:lncRNA from 1 species